rnacentral:rRNA from 1 species
GCAAGUAGAACGCUGAAGGAGGAGCUUGUUUCUCUGGAUGAGUUGCGAACGGGUGAGUAACGCGUAGGUAACCUGCCUGGCAGCGGGGGAUAACCUUUGGAAACGAUAGCUAAUACCGCAUAAUAGUAGAUGUUGCAUGACAUUUGCUUAAAAGGUGCAAUUGCAUCACUACCAGAUGGGCCUGCGUUGUAUUAGCUAGUUGGUGAGGUAACGGCUCACCAAGGCGACGAUACAUAGCCGACCUGAGAGGGUGAUC